AGAGUUUGAUCAUGGCUCAGGACGAACGCUGGCGGCGUGCCUAACACAUGCAAGUCGAACGGGGUCCGCAAGGAUUCAGUGGCGAACGGGUGCGUAACACGUGAAGAAUUUGUCAUUCGGCGGGGGAUAGCCGGCCCAACGGCCGGGUAAUACCGCGUACGACCUUUCCGGGGCAUCCCGGGUUGGUGAAAGCCGUAAGGCGCCGAACGAGAACUUCGCGGCCUAUCAGCUAGUUGGUAGGGUCAUGGCCUACCAAGGCGACGACGGGUAGCUGGUCCGAGAGGAUGACCAGCCACAUUGGGACUGAGACACGGCCCAGACUCCUACGGGAGGCAGCAGUGGGGAAUAUUGCGCAAUGGGCGAAAGCCUGACGCAGCGACGCCGCGUGUGGGAUGACGGCCUUCGGGUUGUAAACCACUGUCGGGAGGGACGAAGCUCUGACGGUACCUCCAAAGAG
rnacentral:rRNA from 1 species